GAUGAACGCUGGCGGCGUGCCUAAUACAUGCAAGUCGAGCGAACAGACGAGGAGCUUGCUCCUCUGACGUUAGCGGCGGACGGGUGAGUAACACGUGGAUAACCUACCUAUAAGACUGGGAUCACUUCGGGAAACCGGAGCUAAUACCGGAUAAUAUAUUGAACCGCAUGGUUCAAUAGUGAAAGACGGUUUUGCUGUCACUUAUAGAUGGAUCCGCGCCGCAUUAGCUAGUUGGUAAGGUAACGGCUUACCAAGGCAACGAUGCGUAGCCGACCUGAGAGGGUGAUCGGCCACACGGGAACUGAGACACGGUCCAGACUCCUACGGGAGGCAGCAGUAGGGAAUCUUCCGCAAUGGGCGAAAGCCUGACGGAGCAACGCCGCGUGAGUGAUGAAGGUCUUCGGAUCGUAAAACUCUGUUAUUAGGGAAGAACAAAUGUGUAAGUAACUAUGCACGUCUUGACGGUACCUAAUCAGAAAGCCACGGCUAACUACGUG
rnacentral:rRNA from 1 species